UGAGGAAUAUUGGUCAAUGGGCGGAAGCCUGAACCAGCCAUCCUGCGUGCAGGAAGACGGCCCUAUGGGUUGUAAACUGCUUUUCCAGGGGGAGAAACUUUCCGAUGAAUCGGGAUUUGACGGUACCCUGGGAAUAAGUAUCGGCUAACUCCGUGCCAGCAGCCGCGGUAAUACGGAGGAUGCGAGCGUUAUCCGGAUUUAUUGGGUUUAAAGGGUGCGUAGACGGAUCGAUAAGUCAGUGGUGAAAACCUGCAGCUUAACUGUAGACUUGCCGUUGAUACUGUUGGUCUUGAGUAUGGUCAAGGUAGGCGGAAUGUGUAAUGUAGCGGUGAAAUGCUUAGAUAUUACACAGAACACCGAUUGCGAAGGCAGCUUACUGGACCAUCACUGACGCUGAUGCACGAAAGCGUGGGGAUCGAACAG
rnacentral:rRNA from 1 species